rnacentral:rRNA from 1 species
UACGAAGGUGGCAAGCGUUGUUCGGAUUCACUGGGCGUACAGGGUGUGUAGGCGGUUUGGUAAGCCUUCUGGUUAAAGACUUUCGGGCCCAACCCGGAAAGCGCAGAGGGUACUGCCAGGCUAGAGGGCGGGAGAGGAGCGCGGAAGUUCCCGGUGGUAGCGGUGAAAUGACGUAGAGAUCGGGAGGAAGGCCGGUGGCGAAGGCGGCGCUCUGGAAUCAUUUCUGACGCUGAGGCUCGAAAGCGUGGGGAGCAAACAGG